AGGUCCGAUCAUACUAGCAUUAAUGCACCAGAUCCCAUAAGAACUCUGCAGUUAAGUGCGCUUGAGCUAGAGUAGUAUUGCGAUGGGUGACCUCCCGAGAAGUCCUAGUGUUGCACCCU
rnacentral:rRNA from 1 species